CCUCUUCAGCGCCCCCUCCUGCCCCCGGUCCCUGGGCCUUUCCCCUCCCCUGCACCCUGGACCUUCUCGGAGGUUCCAGCUGCCCAAGCGCGGUGGAGGCCAAGGGUGGAGUGGGGCGCCCCCUCGCGGCCCAGCCCGGCCCGGCCCGGCCCGGCCCGGGCUCGCCUCACCUCCCCGCCUGCCGAAGCCCUCCCGGAAUGCUCCGGGUUCAAUCCCUGAGCACGGCGGUAGGAGAGCGCCCCCCUGCGGCACAGCCACGUCCACGAAACCCCUCCCGGGGUUCUAGAAAGCGGAGGCCUCCGGCCAGGAAGUCUUCGUGCGGUGGGGUCUGCAGAACCAGUAGAAUCCCUCCUGGGGCCACCACGUUCCUGGCACCAUUCUGAGCCUUCGUGAUGCUAAUCUCCUGUCGUGAGUGCCUCCGGAGGGUUGGGGGGCUGUAAUAUUGUUGUCUGUGCAGAAGGAAAGACCGAGGUGCAGAGAGAUGUCUAGAAGGUGCCAGAAGGUGACUAUCCAGCCCUGGUAUCACUGCCUGGUGAUUUCGUUUCCUUUAUCUUCACGCAUGGCCUCACCGGCACCAGCUGUGAUUUGGACCGAAAUCAGCUGCCACGUGCAACAUUCUCCCAUGGGAGCGUGCGCCCGCCGCACCUAUCUCAGGGCCCAAAUCCCUCCUGCCCCACAGCCCUCUCCUGGGACCUGCCUUGGGUAAGAUGAGAAAUUGGGAUGGGAGGUGUGGGGGCGGGGCAGGGUGUGCAGGUCUCUGGCCACAAGAGAAGCCCGAAGGGAUACAGAUUCCUCCCAAC
rnacentral:lncRNA from 1 species